rnacentral:rRNA from 1 species
UACGGAGGAUCCAAGCGUUAUCCGGAUUUAUUGGGUUUAAAGGGUGCGUAGGCGGAUUGAUAAGUUAGAGGUGUAAUGUCCGUGCUCAACUCGGGAACUGCCUCUAAUACUGUUGAUCUAGAGAGUAGAUGCGGUAGGCGGAAUGUAUGGUGUAGCGGUGAAAUGCUUAGAGAUCAUACAGAACACCGAUUGCGAAGGCAGCUCACCAAUCUAUAUCUGACGUUGAGGCACGAAAGCGUGGGGAGCAAACAGG